CUACUCGGGGAGCGACCGUUCUGCUCUUCUGCUAGCAGACAGCAAAUAUUUCAAAACACAGCUGAUAUAGUCCUGGGAUGUGUUUUACACUGACUAAACACAGCUGAUGUCUUAAUACAUUAAAAAAGCUGAUAUUUCUUAAAAGUGUUUUUAAAUUAAUCUGAGUAGUGUUUGUAGUGUUUUUGGAGUUAUAGCUUAUAGCUUAUAACCCUAAAAAGAAAAAAAAAGUGAAGUGUUAGUAUAAAAGCAGAGCAGUGAAGUUAUUUAAAAAAGUGUGAAGUGUAGUGAUUUCAAAAAUAUGUGUGAUAAUCGAGAUGCCAAGGGAAGGUUUGCGAGUACCCAUCCUGACAAGAAGUACUCUCGAGGAAGAGGCAAGAAGAGGCCAAGAAAAUUUCUAGGAGCAACAUGCGAGGAUGAACCUGCCAACAGGACAAGACCUUCAAGUUCAGCAAGAAAGAUACAAACUCCAGCAGCGGAAGGAACCUCUGUGGUCAGGAAUAGAUUGAUUGAUAUCAACAUUCUAUUUCCUGCUCUCGAGGAACUUUUGAUUUGCAAACAAUGCCAUGGUCAAGUUAAACUUGGCGAAUCUGAAGCUCAAGGAUUAAGAUUCAAGAUUGAAGUAGUGUGCAUUGAGUGUGGCCAGCUGGCAGCUAUCAAGUCACGCAGAAAAGUUGGCGUCUAGAACCAUGCUUUGGAGAACAACAGAAGAGCAGUGGUUACUUUUCGUACUCUUGGACUUAGACACGCUGGUCUAUCAAUAUUUUGUGGGUUGAUGGACUGCUUGAAACCCAUGGCUCAGUCUGCAUAUGAUACAAUCAACGAAUAAUUUAGUAAAGUACGUGAGAAAGUUGCCAAGGACUCUAUGAAGACUGCAGUGAUAGAAGUAAAAACCGCUACAUAGACUGGAGCACCCGGAUCAAACAUUUGGAGGUUAGACUGGUGAUUUUCUGCAGUUUUAACUUGAUUCUACACAGUGACCAAAAUAAAACAUAAGUAAGAAAAGCCGUACAGAACCCAGAGGUAUAAGUGAAUAUACCUCAUAAUUGCUGAGAGUCAAGGUCUAUGUGUGUAGAACAUAGAAAACUUGGUCCCAAAUGAUUUGGUAAGCACUAAUUUAAGUUACACUUUCAACAAUUUUCAUAAAUUUUAAAGCUGAUUUUCUCUAAAUGUUGUUUUUACUGAUUUCAAAAACUCCUUGAGUUUGAGCCCAAAAGAACCAUUGGUUCACUUGGAAUCCUACGGACAGUGAAAAAGUUCACAAAUUCUUGCACCGAGUGCCACAAUGGGCCAGCAGGAAUAAUGAAGGUUUUAGCAUGAUAAAAUCAAAGCGUUUAAAGGUGUUGUGUCCCCUUAAACGUUUAGCUGAAAUCGUCCAAAUAUAUAUGCAUCUGAAUUCUAAAGACAUUUCUGAUAAUGAUAACUUCAGGAAGGUAAAAAUUUACGGAAUUCAAAAAAGUUGUCGAUUUAUUAUAAGUGGAAAAACUCGAUACAAGGGAAUUAAUUAAAACAAAACUUUUUGAGUUUGCGGAGCUUUAUUUUUGGAAAAUAUAAAAAUGGCUUUAGUUUGGUUUGCAAUUGACUUAUUUUUUAAUGUUCGUAUUCUUGUAUAUUAUAGUUGUAUCCAUAUUUUUAAAUAAACAUUUUAGUUCGCACUAA